GAUUGUAUAGAUUAUGUUAAAUCGUGAUGCUGUUAACUUCAAGAAGGGCUGUUGUCUUAUGAUCG
rnacentral:tRNA from 1 species